rnacentral:lncRNA from 1 species
AGGGCAGCUGCGUGCAGCUUCAGACCACAGACACUGCUGUCAGUCUGAAGACUCUGAAUGAUUUCCUCAGGGAAGUCUCAGUUCCAGCCUUAGUGCAGUGUACUCCGAGCAGUACUCAGUGCUCUGUUUUGAGGAUUACUUACAGACUACACAGUGCUGUGACCUAGAUGUUCCAAGAAUAAGAGCAUGCAGUUGAGAUCUUGUUAUUUUCAAGGUUCCCAAAGGACCUAUUAACAGCAGACUUUUAUGGAACGUGGUUAAUGGUUAAACUGGUGAAAAUAACUGCACAAGUUAUACGGUGGACAUACUCCCUGACUGGUACAACUCUGGCAACACUGUUCACCUUGGAGUUUCUGGUGCUUCAUCAGCACAACAUCCCCAGCAGGUCCUGUGCAAACAUAGAUUUCUCAUCCAGGGAUCAUGAAGAGCUGCACUGAUUUGUUCCAGAGCAACAUUUCUCCACAUUUCUAACCAUCUUGAGAUAAGCAGUCAGGAGACUGCAGAUCAAGGCUGGUGGAGCAGGGCAAGGCAUUCCUAUUCCCAUAGACAUAAUGGUGAAAGUUCAGCAGGUGACAGAUGUCUCAUUUCUUUCUCUAUUUUGUGUGUGUCCCUGUUAGCACUGAUGGGAGAGCCUUUCUUGUGCCUUGGACAUUCAGCUAGUACUUAUUCUCCAUGAAUUCUCCAUGAAUUCUCUAUGAAUUUGCUGGUAAAUGCCCUUUAUGACCUGAACUAACUGUGAGAUUUAGCUUUGUAUCAAC